AUUGAACGCUGGCGGCAUGCCUUACACAUGCAAGUCGAACGGCAGCACGGGUGCUUGCACCUGGUGGCGAGUGGCGAACGGGUGAGUAAUACAUCGGAACAUGUCCUGUAGUGGGGGAUAGCCCGGCGAAAGCCGGAUUAAUACCGCAUACGAUCUACGGAUGAAAGCGGGGGACCUUCGGGCCUCGCGCUAUAGGGUUGGCCGAUGGCUGAUUAGCUAGUUGGUGGGGUAAAGGCCUACCAAGGCGACGAUCAGUAGCUGGUCUGAGAGGACGACCAGCCACACUGGGACUGAGACACGGCCCAGACUCCUACGGGAGGCAGCAGUGGGGAAUUUUGGACAAUGGGCGAGAGCCUGAUCCAGCAAUGCCGCGUGUGUGAAGAAGGCCUUCGGGUUGUAAAGCACUUUUGUCCGGAAAGAAAUCCUUGGCCCUGAUACGGUCGGGGGAUGACGGUACCGGAAGAAUAAGCACCGGCUAACUACGUG
rnacentral:rRNA from 1 species